AUAUGUAGCUGGCAGGGGAGGUAGCAUAGGUGGUUUUCCUAUGGCUAGAUUUAUUCAUUGCACUCUGGCUGUGCUGACCCCUGCAAUUUCCCCAAAUGUGGGAAACUCAACUGUGUAAUUUGUGCUAGUGGGGGACUGUUUUCAUACUCUUCCUUG
ensembl:snRNA U1 U1 spliceosomal RNA